rnacentral:rRNA from 1 species
GAUGAACGCUGGCGGCGUGCCUAAUACAUGCAAGUCGAGCGAACGGACGAGAAGCUUGCUUCUCUGAUGUUAGCGGCGGACGGGUGAGUAACACGUGGAUAACCUACCUAUAAGACUGGGAUAACUUCGGGAAACCGGAGCUAAUACCGGAUAAUAUUUUGAACCGCAUGGUUCAAAAGUGAAAGACGGUCUUGCUGUCACUUAUAGAUGGAUCCGCGCUGCAUUAGCUAGUUGGUAAGGUAACGGCUUACCAAGGCAACGAUGCAUAGCCCAACUGAGAGGGUGAUCCGCCACACUGGAACUGAAACACGGUCCAGACUCCUACGGGAGGCAGCAGUAGGGAAUCUUCCGCAAUGGGCGAAAGCCUGACGGAGCAACGCCGCGUGAGUGAUGAAGGUCUUCGGAUCGUAAAACUCUGUUAUUAGGGAAGAACAUAUGUGUAAGUAACUGUGCACAUCUUGACGGUACCUAAUCAGAAAGCCACGGCUAACUACGUGCCAGCAGCCGCGGUAAUACGUAGGUGGCAAGCGUUAUCCGGAAUUAUUGGGCGUAAAGCGCGCGUAGCGGUUUUUUAGUCUGAUGUGAAAGCCCACGGCUCAACCGUGGAGGGUCAUUGGAAACUGGAAAACUUGAGUGCAGAAGAGGAAAGUGGAAUUCCAUGUGUAGCGGUGAAAUGCGCAGAGAUAUGGAGGAACACCAGUGGCGAAGGCGACUUUCUGGUCUGUAACUGACGCUGAUGUGCGAAAGCGUGGGGAUCAAACAGGAUUAGAUACCCUGGUAGUCCACGCCGUAAACGAUGAGUGCUAAGUGUUAGGGGGUUUCCGCCCCUUAGUGCUGCAGCUAACGCACUAAGCACUCCGCCUGGGGAGUACGACCGCAAGGUUGAAACUCAAAGGAAUUGACGGGGACCCGCACAAGCGGUGGAGCAUGUGGUUUAAUUCGAAGCAACGCGAAGAACCUUACCAAAUCUUGACAUCCUUUGACAACUCUAGAGAUAGAGCCUUCCCCUUCGGGGGACAAAGUGACAGGUGGUGCAUGGUUGUCGUCAGCUCGUGUCGUGAGAUGUUGGGUUAAGUCCCGCAACGAGCGCAACCCUUAAGCUUAGUUGCCAUCAUUAAGUUGGGCACUCUAAGUUGACUGCCGGUGACAAACCGGAGGAAGGUGGGGAUGACGUCAAAUCAUCAUGCCCCUUAUGAUUUGGGCUACACACGUGCUACAAUGGACAAUACAAAGGGCAGCGAAACCGCGAGGUCAAGCAAAUCCCAUAAAGUUGUUCUCAGUUCGGAUUGUAGUCUGCAACUCGACUACAUGAAGCUGGAAUCGCUAGUAAUCGUAGAUCAGCAUGCUACGGUGAAUACGUUCCCGGGUCU